rnacentral:rRNA from 1 species
CUGCCGCCGGCGACCGGCGCACGGGUGAGUAACACGUAUGCAACCUGGCCGUGACAGAUGGAUAACCGGGAGAAAUCCCGCCUAAUACAACAUAAUGCCGGGAGGGGACAUCCCCUGCCGGCCAAAGGGGGCGACCCCGGUCACGGAUGGGCAUGCGGCGCAUUAGGUAGUUGGUGGGGCAACGGCCCACCAAGCCGACGAUGCGUAGGGGUUCUGAGAGGAAGGUCCCCCACAUUGGAACCGAGACACGGUCCAAACUCCUACGGGAGGCAGCAG